rnacentral:lncRNA from 1 species
ACCAUACUCCUUAAUUAAAUUUAAACCUUUGAACCAACCUACUUUAAACCUGUCUCUCUCAUCUAGUAGGUCUAGUUUAAUUCCUUUAUCUAAAAAAAUUCAUAAAACUUUAUAUUUCUUUAAGGAUAAAGAUAUUAAUAAUUCUUUAGGCCCUAGUAAGCUCUUAAGAAUUAGCACGCUCUUAGUCUCAGAAAAUUCUGAGGAUAAGAGAAUAGUUGGUAGGA